UCUCUGUCAGCAGCCAGAGCUGAGAAAAAGCCAGAAUUCUGACUUCUCAGUUGCUGGCUUUCAACUGUUAUUUCCAUGGAAACCUAUCAGAUCUGAAAAAACAAGUUAAGUGCCUUAAUAUCAUCACCAUCCAAUGACUGAGACUUCCCAUGUUUCAGUCUAGCUAAUAUCCAUUUCCAGGGGUAAAAAGAGGAGAACUGGCCACACAGACUUGAAGGAAAAUGCACUUAUUUCAUCUCAGCAGAUCAUUACUGACCAAGAAUGGUUAAAGUUAAAGAGGAGUGUCCAAGAAUGCUGAAAUUCCACAUGUGGGGAGAGUCAGCCUCAUAAUCUGAACCAAGGAGAGGCUCAUUUUAACAUUCUGGAAAAAAGUGUGAAACGCCUUUUAUUUGAGCAGAAAAGGAAUCAAUAGAGAGAGGAAGAAAAGAAGGAAAACGAGUGCACACCACCACCUGCUUUCCUGGG
ensembl:lincRNA